CAGCUUGUUGGUGAGGUAAUGGCUCACCAAGGCGUCGACGGGUAGCCGGCCUGAGAGGGUGACCGGCCACACUGGGACUGAGACACGGCCCAGACUCCUACGGGAGGCAGCAGUGGGGAAUAUUGCACAAUGGGCGGAAGCCUGAUGCAGCAACGCCGCGUGAGGGAUGACGGCCUUCGGGUUGUAAACCUCUUUUAGCAGGGAAGAAGCGAAAGUGACGGUACCUGCAGAAAAAGCGCCGGCUAACUACGUGCCAGCAGCCGCGGUAAUACGUAGGGCGCAAGCGUUAUCCGGAAUUAUUGGGCGUAAAGAGCUCGUAGGCGGUUUGUCGCGUCUGCUGUGAAAUCCCGAGGCUCAACCUCGGGCCUGCAGUGGGUACGGGCAGACUAGAGUGCGGUAGGGGAGAUUGGAAUUCCUGGUGUAGCGGUGGAAUGCGCAGAUAUCAGGAGGAACACCGAUGGCGAAGGCAGAUCUCUGGGCCGUAACUGACGCUGAGGAGCGAAAGGGUGGGGAGCAAACAGGCUUAGAUACCCUGGUAGUCCACCCCGU
rnacentral:rRNA from 1 species